rnacentral:lncRNA from 1 species
UCAAAAAUGUUGAUUCAACAUUUUCCAGCAAAUAGAGAGUACCCAAAUACAGAAACAUGGUCUUGCUAAUUGUAAAACAGAUCUGUUACCAAAAGCAGCUGAAAUUCACCAAGCUGAAGAAAUGCAGGAAUAUAAAUUUCACAAACAAAAUAAAAAAAAACACCAACUGAAUUAUAGUACCUCGAAACAUUUGGAAUUUCAAGAAAACCCUUGUCAGAUGGGGUAAAACAAUUCUAAGAUGAAUGCUGAGGUGGGAGGUGAAAAUAACAGUUCCCACAAACCUUACGGGAACACAGGUGUAGUACCCACAUAUUUUGUUCAAAUUGAAGAAUACAAAGAUGGAACAGUGAGGAGCUGAAGCGUUUUUGGUUAAGGUGAAAGAGUAGGAGUUAGAUCUGUGUUAGCAGCAGACAAGAGAGCAAAUGGGAGAAUUUGCAAAGAGAAUUAGGUGAAGUGGAAACUCUGCAAGUGAAGAAGAAAUGCAGAGUGAGAAGAGAGAGGGGUGGUUGCAGACUUGCUCCAGUAGGGUCCCUGGAUUUAGGCUUUUU